rnacentral:rRNA from 1 species
UAGCAUAAUCMUUAGUUUUUUAAUUGAGAACUGGAAUGAAAGGUUAUAUAAAAAAUAAUCUUUAUUUAUUUUAAAAUAUUUGAAUUUGUUUUUUUAGUAAAAAAACUAAAAUAUAUUAAAAAGACGAUAAGACCCUAUAAAGCUUUAUAAUAUAAAUUUUAAUAAUAAGUUAGAAUAUUAAAUAAAUUUUUUUUUUUUUAUUUAAUUGGGGUGAUUUAAAGAUUUAAAAAACUCUUUAAUAAAUAAAUUUCAUAUUUAAAUGUUUUUUGAUCCUUAAUAUUUAAGAGUAAUAAAAUAAGUUACUUUAGGGAUAACAGCGUAAUUUUUUUGAAGAGUUCUAAUCGAUAAAAAAGAUUGCGACCUCGAUGUUGAAUUAAGAUAAAAAUUAGGUGUAGAAGUUUAAUUUUU